GGGGAGUUGAAGAGAGAAGCUGUCUGAAUAAACUGCAUUAAGAACUGGUGGUUGCGUUUUCCUUGCUGGUCGAGGUGGACGCAACAACUACCAGUGACAGCCUCCGGGCUUCUGAUGCGACACAAGGAUAAACUAACCCAGACAGAAAUCACAGCACCUGGCACUGGAAAUACCGUGUGGGCCAGAGACAUCAAGGGAAGACUGCAACUAAGCAAACUGGAGGACUUGACAUCACAUUAACUUGCAAUGUAUGUAUGUGCAUGUGUAAGAGCACUGAUCUAUACAGUGAUCCUUAUUGUUUUUCUGGGAAUUGUUCCAGUGGUAGCCCUCAGUGUGCACUUCUGUGACCAAAUACACA
ensembl:lincRNA Gm28783 predicted gene 28783